rnacentral:misc_RNA from 1 species
UCCCCGUUUUCCGGGGCAGUCCCUGUAGAGUUCCCGGCAUGACCCGCUGGCAACUACAGGCAAGGGUUGCGCUCGUUGCGGGACUUAACCCAACAUCUCACGACACGAGCUGACGACAGCCAUGCAGCACCUGUGCUAGCUGCCCUUGCGGGCUCAUUGCCGUUUCCGGUUCUUACUACUAGCAUGUCAAACCUGGGUAAGGUUUUUCGCGUUGCAUCGAAUUAAACCACAUACUCCACCGCUUGUGCGGGCCCCCGUCAAUUCCUUUGAGUUUCAGUCUUGCGACCGUACUCCCCAGGCGGCGAACUUAACGCGUUAGCUUCGAUACUGAGUGCCUAGUUGCACCCAACAUCCAGUUCGCAUCGUUUAGGGCGUGGACUAC